rnacentral:rRNA from 1 species
GACGAACGCUGGCGGCGUGCUUAACACAUGCAAGUCGAACGGAAAGGCCCUGCUUUUGUGGGGUGCUCGAGUGGCGAACGGGUGAGUAACACGUGAGUAACCUGCCCUUGACUUUGGGAUAACUUCAGGAAACUGGGGCUAAUACCGGAUAGGAGCUCCUGCUGCAUGGUGGGGGUUGGAAAGUUUCGGCGGUUGGGGAUGGACUCGCGGCUUAUCAGCUUGUUGGUGGGGUAGUGGCUUACCAAGGCUUUGACGGGUAGCCGGCCUGAGAGGGUGACCGGCCACAUUGGGACUGAGAGACAGCCCAGACUCCUACGGGAGGCAGCAGUGGGGAAUAUUGCACAAUGGGCGGAAGCCUGAUGCAGCAACGCCGCGUGCGGGAUGACGGCCUUCGGGUUGUAAACCGCUUUCGCCUGUGACGAAGCGUGAGUGACGGUAAUGGGUAAAGAAGCACCGGCUAACUACGUG